rnacentral:rRNA from 1 species
UUGUUGCGGUUAAACGCUCGUAGUUGGAUACCUGCCAAGGGUGGUCGGUCCUCCUCAGUGGAGAGUACCGGGGUUAGCCCUUGGCGCUAGUUCAGGAAACGUGUGCGCUUAAUUGUGUGCCGCGUGACUUGAACUUUUACUUUGAGGAAAUGAGAGUGUUUCAAGCAGGCGUUUGCCGUGAAUAUGAUAGCAUGGAAUAAUAGCAUCGGGCCCCUUUCCAAAGCUGUUGGUUUUUGGAACGAGGUAAUCGAAAUAAGGAUAGUUGGGGGUAUUCGUAUUUAACUGUCAGAGGUGAAAUUCUUGGAUUUUUUAAAGGCGAACUAUUGCGAAGGCAUCUACCCAGGAUGGUUUUUGUUGAUCAAGAACGAAAGUUAGGGGAUCGAAGAUGAUUAGAUACCAUCCUAGUCUUUUUUAUAAACUAUGCCGACUGGAGAUCGGAGUCGUCAGGUUACUGACUUCUUCGGCAUCUUGAGAGAAAUCGAAGUCUUUGGGUUCCGGGGGGAGUAUGGUCGCAAGGCUGAAACUUAAAGGAAUUGACGGAAGGGCACCACCAGGAGUGGAGCCUGCGGCUUAAUUUGACUCAGCACGGGAAAACUCACCAGGUCCAGACAUAGAUAGGAUUGACAGACUGAUAGCUCUUUCUUAAUUCUAUGGGUGGUGGUGCAUGGCCGUUCUUAGUUGGUGGAGUGAUUUGUCAGGUUAAUUCCGUUAACGAACGAGACCUUAACCUGCUAAAUAGUUCCCAGAACUUAGGUUCUCGGGCUACUUCUUAGAGGGACUUCGUGUGUUUAACGCGAGGAGGUUUGAGGCAAUAACAGGUCUGUGAUGCCCUUAGAUGUCCUGGGCUGCACGCGCGCUACACUGAUGUGUCCAAUAAGCUCCUCACCUACUCCGAAGGGACUAGGUAACCUUAGCAAAG